rnacentral:pre_miRNA from 1 species
CUAACAUUUGGAGCGUCGGUCUACCGAGCAAUAUCACCUGCUCAGUAUAAGAUCUUCCCUUUGUCUU